AAUGUCAGAAACCUGCAUCAACUAAUUUUCAAUCUCAUUCAAUUCUUCUCUAUGUUAGAUUCAACAGUGGUCAUGGGUAAAUUUGUAAAAACAAACUUUGAAUGAUUACAGCGGUCCAAACAGACAAAACCGUUUAUAGACCGGACCGCUUUUUAUUUACCAUUCAUAAAUUAUAAUCCGUAAUAGUACAUACUUAAAAAAAAUAGAAGACAACCGCAUCGGACUAACUGCGGACAGUCUUUAAACUAAGUCCGCAUCGGUUUGUUGUCCGACCCAAAAAUGGUAUGGACUAAACCGCUACGGAUUAGUCCGCACUAACUACAACAUCCAUUCAAAGCAAAAAGCAAAACAAGAACGAAUUUACACCAUCAUGAUUUAGAUACACGAUAUAAUCCAGGCAUAUUUAAUCCCGUAGUUACCUUCCAAGUUCAAACCAUAUAAAAAUGUGAACUUCUAACACAUCGGAAUACAAA
rnacentral:sRNA from 1 species